UUUAUGUAUAUGAGUGUUUGCAUGCAUGUGUUUGUAUAUAUAUGCACUAUAUACCAGCCUGUUGCUGGAAGAGGCCAGAAGAGGGCGUCAGAGCCCCUAGGGCUGGAGUUGCAGAUAGCUGGGAGCCUCCAUGUGGGUGCAGGGAACUGAGUCUCAGUCUGAUGAAGAGCAGCUAGUUUAGGCCCCUCCCAUUAUGUAUCCUUCAUCCCAUCACAUAUCCUUCAUUACCCUAGUUUUCCCUCCCUUAAGCUUUCUCUUCCCCUCUCAUGAUUCCUGGUUUUCAUAACCUACAAAUACACAUAUAUAAAUACCCACAUACACAUAACCUAUGAAUAUAUACAUGUAAAUACUCACAUGUAUAAAAUUUUAAAUGUCUCCCGGUUCAUUUUGCUUGACACAGGAAGGCAAUAAUUUUGAGUCCUCAGCUUCUAAUUACCCUUCCUACAGUUGAGCAGCCUGGAAACCUGACUUUAGGGCUUCCUGCUACUGUGUCCAGCCCGAGCCCGAGCCCGGCUACAGUGUAGUCCUUUUAUCCUUGGUGCACCUCCCGCCAGGCUCACUGGUCUAUUCUUGCUCCCCUGACCUAGCGAAUGCUUGAGCCUCAGAAGUGAGCCAGAUGGCAGCCUUAGAUAAGCAAUCCCAGGGAUGGAUGGAAGGAAGUGUCCUUAAAAAUCAUUUCUGGGCCUGUUUUCAGCUGUGGGCUUCUGAGAACACAUGGCCAGAACCCAUCCUGUACGGGGUCCUGUGUGGGGUGCUUGUAGUGCUGGUGUGUGGAGAAUCAAAUGGCUGUGGGGGUUUGCUCACCGAAGGCUACAGUCUGUCGGGGAAACCUAGCUGAUGAGGGCAAGCCUUGGGCUCGUGUUCAGGGAACUCAGGUUGCAUUAGACUCUUCUAUGUUAGGAGGGACUGGAUGAAAUAUAGUCUUUGCCGCUGGCUGCUGUCAUCCUGGCCUGUUUGUGGCUUGGAAGGUGGCAUUGCCUCUGGCUUUGUUCUGCUUGUUCUGUUCUGAAUUCUGUUACAGGAUUUCCAAGGGGACUGUUGCAAAACACAAAUGGCCCACAAGGGCCAUGCAGGGUGUCUAGGAGAAGAAUUCCUUAGAUAACAUCUUUUUCCUCGUGUUCUGAACAGCCCACCCAGAACACUGUGCCUUCCCUCGUCCCAACCUUUACUGUGGUCACUGAUAUUUGUCAUGAUCACAUGGCUUUGCUUCUGGGCCAAAGGACAGGCCUUCCACCCAGCCCAACAUGUACUUGCCAGAUUGGAAUCUCUGGUCACUGCACAUGUCACCUUCUGAUGGAACGCAGCUGAAGCCACCACAGGUCAUGGGAAAUGGUGGCUUUGCUUCCCAUCAGUGGGAAAAAGUUGUGAAAACACAGAGCACAGCUAGCCAGACUCUGAGAUGAAGAGAGAGGGAGGGCAGAGAUGGGUGGUGGUGGUGGAGGGCAGAAGAAAUAAGGGGAGGGAGGGAAAUAGGGAGGGGGUAAUGGACUAAGUUAGGGGAGGCAGUAGAUAGAUGUUGAAUGAAAGGGAGUGUGGGGACUGUGGGGACUUCGGGGCCAGGGGCCACAAACCUGAUGGCACAGGUUAGCCCAGCUUUUGGGAUGGUACAAGUGAGGGUUAUAGAAGGGUUUUGCCACUGGAGGCUAAAGCCAAGCAUACCCUAGUGGUUCAAAGCUUUCCCUCUCUCUCCCCGCCCUCAUCCAGGCCACCAACCCUCUGGGUUACACAGCAGAUUAAUUUGAAAAUUGAGUUGCAUCUCAAUGAGUUGAUGUUGAUUUCAAAGUUCACUGGUGUUUAAUUAGAACCAUCUUGAGACUAAUCCAGCUCCAAGGAAAUUAUUCUGACCGAAUAAUUAAAGAGAAUAAAGGUUAGAUUUGUGUUUCUGGUUAAGUCUGUGUUGUCUUCAACACUUCCAAAGCAUGAAUUUCAUUAACCUUUCAUGAACCAACAUUAAAUUGCUCUCAACGACCUGCCAUUCUAAUUAAGGCAGACUCGUACAGAGGAGCCUUUGUUUAUACUUGGGGGGGGGGGCUGUGUCAUCUCUUCCUUGAAGUAGUCCUUGGGAAAUGGUUUUCUAACUUUGUACAUGCCCAGCUGCCUGAAGCUCCCAUUUUUGGGACUUGCUCACAGAUGUUGGGGGAGAACUGAGCCUCGGACAGAGGCCACGGGGUGUCGGGAGAGGCUAAAGUAAAGUGAAGGGAGAGCUGAGGUGGCCUAGGCAAGCCUAGUGGUGUUCUAGGAAGCCCUGUGAGGUCAGAUGGAGAGGAUGCUGUGCUGUUUGAGGUAGGCCUUGCUCACUCUGAGCCUUUAUGGGUGCUCAUUCUUGAGUGCUGGUGACCUUGCUUGGGGCUGGGGCGGCUGGAUGUAGUGUCCAUAGCAGAAGACAGCUUCUUGAGUGCUGCUGGACUCCUGGUAAUCCAGCAUAGUUUACUUCUGUCUCUUUCCAGUUGAUUACAGAUCCGAUGUGUUAUAACUCAUGCUAACGUCUAUGCCAACACAGGGUUCCUCAAGGUGAGCUCCAGACCCCCAGAACUCAUGAGGCCCAUGUAACAUUGGUCCUUCUUGGCUGCUGAGAUCCUGAGUCCUGGUACCAGUGGCUCAGGAAGGCAGCUAUAUAUGGUAGGCCUUUAAAAUGAAUUAUCAUGUGUAUGUGGGUGGUGCACAGGGUGAGAACACAUAAUAACUUGCCCGAGUGUCUCUUCUCCCUCCCUGUCUUCUGGUGCUUUAGGUCCAGAGGAACCUCAGUGUGGUCUGAAUGGGUAGUUGGUGACCAGACUGGAGCAGGCAGCCUAACUCCAUGGGAGAAUUCAGUUCUGCCUCUGUCUCCAUGCUCGGAAGCUUGGAUGCACAGCAGUGCUACCAGCUGACCCAGAUGUUGGGUUGUGAAGCCUUGGCUUGGCUUUCCUCGUUGAUUCUCUGGCUCCCUAGGAUGUCUCUCACUCUCCACAAGUCUUCUGUGCUUCUUCAUGGGGCUCCCCUAUCUGGCCUUUUCUGCAGGUCUUCAGUAAGCAAAUCUGGGGUUACCUGGAGUAGGUACCCCAACUUUGUGCUGAGGGACUUGUUUCAUCUCCAUAGCCAGUGCCCUCCAAGGCACAUACUAUGCCGCCAUCCUUGAUUCUGUUGUGGGGUAUUGGAGACAGAAUGGGGACCCUUUGUCUGCCCUCAGAGCUCAUGGAGUGAUGAUCCAGCCUGCUUUAACACCCCCAGCUCUCCAGACAGAGGUGGGGCCAAGGCCCCAGAAUGGAAGAGGUGUCACUGUUUAAACUGUAUAUGGUUCGAGGGAAAUGUGUGGGCAAGCAGUUGCUGAGAUCCACAGGGAGAAGGUGUAUCCAUGAAGUCUCCUGUGUUUUGUAUCUGGCUUCCUCAGUGCCCCCUUAGACAGAUCUCGGUGUUUAACUUCGUUAAUGUUUAAUGAAAAAAGGAACCAACUACUAUGAUUUAAUAAAGAAAACUCUUCUAUCUUAAUGUGUUUCCCAGGGAAAUGACUUCAGCUUUGUUGACUGUGAAUGGCAGCUUCAUUACUGGAGCCAGCUGUGGCCUCUCCUGGCGCUCCUAACAGCGUGUCCCGUUGCUUGACCAGGACAGACACUGCUGUGCUCCCAAGGGGACAGAUUUUCAGGUAAACCCAGUUUUCCAUGCCCAAUGGACUGCUACAACUACCAAUAAAUACCCUGCACCUAGACUCUGACCCGCUGACACAGGGUUGGUGAGAGAGACCUUGCUCAUGAGCUUGUAAUAAAGGCUCUUAUGUGUUUGUAUCAUUGGCUCCUUGGUGGCCUUUGGGGUCCCUGUGACUUGGUCAUAAUACCAGCUCUCCUUCAUUGCCCCUGGCCAUCACUAGUUUGCCCUCUUCUUUAUAGGGUCCUUCAGAGUUGUUUUUAGCUGGCUAACCAUCUAGUGUCUCUUAGGAGCAACCGCCCAUCUCAGUGUAAUCUGGAGGUGGGAGCAAAGGAGCUGGCUGCAUGGACAGAGCCUUCAAGUGGUGGUCACUGGUCAUCUAAGUGACUGGGCUCUUCUGUUCCUGGUCUAUCCAAUGGUAACAAUGAGACUUGGGACUGUUGCAAGGGCUAAUGAAGAAUUAAUUCAUGAUGCGCUCUGGGGCCGGCCACUGCCACUGAAGUGUCUAUGGCACUCCCAGGAUGGGACAGUUGUUCUGAAAGAGUCUGGUGGUUAUGGGGACUGGUAGGUGAAGCUAGCAAAGAACUCAAGGGGCCCUGUGAAAGGUGAAUCUGGUAGCUCAGAGGGAAGGCUGCAGCCUCUAUGUUUUUGGAAAAGCACCUGGAUCCUAUGUGCUUUUAGGCUCUUGGGUGUGAGCUUGGGGCAGUCCCGGAGACUUCUGCAGCAGAGCCCAGCAGUGACAGCAUGCGUGUAACAUGUCUGGGGAAUGCAUCCUCUUGGGCAAGGAGUCUGAAGGUGGCCCCCUCCUUGGUUCCUCUCAUUUCCUCUGCAGUAUCAGAGCCUGACACUGUUAGAGCCUCCUUGUUCCCGUGUAGGCUUUCUCUGAUGUCUUGGGCCUGUAAGCGUGCAGUCCUGGCAUGACUCUUGCUUUUGGCUGGUUGCCCUGCCUUGAUUUUUCAGCUAAGGCUCCACAGCAGCUGACGGCCGAGGUGGGUAUGGCCCAGUCGGCUUGCAGCAGGUCUUCCUCCACAGCAGUCCCUCACUAGUGUGGUGGUGCACGCCUGCAAUCCAAGCACUCAGGAGGCCGAGACAAUGUUAAUGUCAGCCUGGGCCUCCACAAGGAAUGUCCAAAAGUAAAACAAAACACACACAUAUAUAUACCAAAUUCAAAACUACCCCUCGCAUAAAAAGCCCACACACGUAACUGCUCUAAAGCAGGAGACAGCACCUGUAAACUAUGUAGCCACAGCAACCUCAAUACCCGGAAAACUCGAUUCCCCUAUAGUUUCUUUCCUACAUUUAUUUAUUUAUUUAUUUAUUUAUUUAUUUAUUUAUUUAUUUAUUAAAUAUUUUUAUUUAUUAUAUGUAAGUACACUGUAGCUGUCUUCAGACACUCCAGAGGAGGGAGUCAGUCAGAUCUUGUUACGGAUGGUUGUGAGCCACCAUGUGGUUGCUGAGAUUUGAACUCCGGACCUUCGGAAGAGCAGUCGGGUGUCCUUACCCACUGAGCCAUCUCACCAGCCCCUACAUUUAUUUUUAAAACCUAGUCAUUCCACUUAUCCAAUGUUGAUGCUUUAGGCAUUCUGUCCAGCUGAAAUGGGGGCUUUCUCCCUUUCCUUUUCUGAGGAAGGGUCUCAGGAAUGUAGCCCCUGCUGGCCUUGACCAUACAGGGACUGACUGGGACUGUCUCUGCUGCUUCCCCAGCCCGGGAUUAAAGGUGUCUGUUACCACACCUGACUAAAAAAGGGAAUCCUCUCAUGGCUGAGUCUGUAUGAACAGCUGUGAAUGUGCAGUCAUCGAAGCUGAGUAAGAUAACUACCAGGCCCCCUCACCCCUUAUUUCCAUGACUAUAAAUGCCGUAGUCAACUUGUAUGGAGGAUAUGUACUGCUGAGCCAAAAGGGAGACUACAGGCAUGCCAACCUGUUUCGUACAGGCCUUCAAACACCAGCAACAGGAAGCAGCCAGGUCAGGUAGGUAACUGGGUAAUUACCAGGACCAGCCAGUGUUAGAUAUUAGCAACAUCACAGAGAAGAAGCAAGCGGAAGUUGCACUGUCCCCUGCUGGCAUGAGGUUUCUUGCUACCAGGAGUUUGUCUACAACAGCAGUCAACUGGUGUCUCCUUCUCCACUACUAUACCUUCUCAUAUCUGGGUAGUCACAGAAAGUACCAGAAGAAACCUACUUAGGAUACAUGGAAAAACCAAAGAACUGCAUGUAGGGCAUGCCUGUAGUAACAUUCCAGGCUGAGGCAGGAGGAUUGUCACAAGUUUAAGGCCAGCCUAGAAUGCAUAACAAGACUGUCUCCGACAACCAAGACCAAACAAAGGCAAAGGAAACAUUUUGAUUAUCUUAUUUUUUUAUCUUCAAAAUUUUCUGCCAUGACAUCGGAAUGCAUGAUAGAAAUGGCUCAUCUUCACGUGAAACACUUGGGUUCAUUUUCAUUCACAAGUUUUCUAAAAACAAAACAAAA